UACGUAGGGUGCGAGCGUUAAUCGGAAUUACUGGGCGUAAAGGGCGCGUAUGCGGCCUGCUAAGUCGAACGUGAAAUCCCCGGGCUCAACCCGGGAACUGCGUCCGAUACUGGCUGGCUUGAAUCCGGGAGAGGGAUGCGGAAUUCCAGGUGUAGCGGUGAAAUGCGUAGAUAUCUGGAGGAACACCGGUGGCGAAGGCGGCAUCCUGGACCGGCAUUGACGCUGAGGCGCGAAAGCCAGGGGAGCAAACGGG
rnacentral:rRNA from 1 species